AUACGGAGGAUGCGAGCGUUAUCCGGAUUUAUUGGGUUUAAAGGGUGCGUAGGCUGUGCGUUAAGUCAGGGGUGAAAUGCCGUCGCUCAACGACGGAGCUGCCCUUGAUACUGGCGUGCUGGAGUACGGAUGCCGUUGGAGGAAUGAGUGGUGUAGCGGUGAAAUGCUUAGAUAUCACUCAGAACACCGAUUGCGAAGGCAUCUGACGAAUCCGUCACUGACGCUGAGGCACGAAAGCGUGGGGAUAGAACAGGAUUAGAUACCCUGGUAUUCCACGCCGUAAACGAUGAUGACUAACCGUCGGCGAUAGACAGCCGGUGGCCAAGCGAAAGCGAUAAGUCAUCCACCUGGGGAGUACGUCGGCAACGAUGAAACUCAAAUGAAUUGACGGG
rnacentral:rRNA from 1 species